UACGGAGGGGGCUAGCGUUGUUCGGAAUUACUGGGCGUAAAGCGCACGUAGGCGGAUUUGUAAGUCAGGGGUGAAAUCCCGGGGCUCAACCUCGGAACUGCCUUUGAUACUGCAAAUCUCGAGUCCGGAAGAGGUGAGUGGAAUUCCUAGUGUAGAGGUGAAAUUCGUAGAUAUUAGGAAGAACACCCGUGGCGAAGGCGGUUCUCUGGGACGGUACUGACGCUGAGACGCGAAAGCGUGGGGAGCGAACAGG
rnacentral:rRNA from 1 species